rnacentral:rRNA from 1 species
AGUGAACGCUGGCGGCAGGCCUAAUACAUGCAAGUCGAACGGCAGCACAGCAGAGCUUGCUCUGUGGGUGGCGAGUGGCGGACGGGUGAGGAAUACAUGGGAAUCUGCCCAGUCGUGGGGGAUAACGUAUGGAAACGUACGCUAAUACCGCAUGCGCCCUUUGGGGGAAAGCCGGGGACCUUCGGGCCUGGCGCGAUUGGAUGAGCCCAUGUUCGAUUAGCUAGUUGGCGGGGUAAAGGCCCACCAAGGCGACGAUCGAUAGCUGGUCUGAGAGGAUGAUCAGCCACACUGGGAGUGAGACACGGCCCAGACUCCUACGGGAGGCAGCAGUAGGGAAUAUUGGACAAUGGGCGCAAGCCUGAUCCAGCCAUGCCGCGUGAGUGAAGAAGGCCCUCGGGUUGUAAAGCUCUUUUGUCCGGAAAGAAAAGCAUUCGGUUAAUACCCGGGUGUUCUGACGGUACCGGAAGAAUAAGCACCGGCUAACUUCGUG